CUCCCCUCCCUGUGAUGGUGGGCUUGCUAUUUAAUCUCCCUCCUGUUUCUCUGUCGUCAAACAGGAAGGCUUCCCUGAGUCUGCAGGGUGGUCACAAAGAUCAGACAAAAUGCUGACUGCAACACGUAGAAGACCGUGGUUGGCUCCUGUGAGCUCAGAGAAAAUUUUUUCUUCUAAUUAAUUAUUGUGGUGCAUAGAGUUCUCACCCAUCCCUCCUCCUUACUGGAGAAGCCCAGAGGGAAGAAGGAAAUGGCUUUCCACAGCCAAACAGCCACUCAGCGGAAGAGUGGGGUCUGGGGCUCAGGUCCUCCUGCCCCCAGCCCUGAGCUCCCUGUAGGGUUUCCUUUUUCCAGAUCUCAGGGAUCUGAAGGGCUCCGAAGCAGCCCACUGGGAAGUGUAAAAUCCCCCGUGGCUUUCAGGAUUUUCUCGGUUGAGUUUUUUGGUGGAAUUUCAGAGCAGUAGACAGGCUCAAACCAACCUCAUACCCAACCAGCCUGACCUGGAGGCUGUGAGGCCAGGGCAAAGUCUGGUUUUAUAAGGCCCUUCCGCAAACAUGGCCAGAAAACCAAAGAAAAAAAAAAAGCAUGUUUAACUGCUCAUUUGAUCUCCACAAUGAUAAAAGCCACUGAAGUUUCCCUAUUAGCUAACAAACUUCAAAGGUUACAUUCAGCAUCAGCUGGUGUGUUUAACAGCAUGUUUCCUGAGUGCCUAGGAUGGGCAGAUGCGGUGCUAGGUGCUUUUCCAUUUGGCCUUACUGAGGCCUCAUGACCUCCCCACAGGUAGGGUGAUGUUCAUUCUACAGUUGGGGCCGCAGAAUGUGAGAAUAGUUUCAGAGUUGAGCAAACAGCUGGCAUGGCCAGAGUGGGAAGCCAGGAGCUUCGGCUGUGUCUGGUGUCCCCCCCACCUUAGCAACCCCCCAUCUCAACAGAAACGGCUGCUUGUUCAAGCCCAGUUUGGCAUUCCCUCCCAUCCACAAUCAUCGCCUCGAGUGACACGGUACCCAGUUAGUCGAAUUGUGGUCAGACUGGUGGUGCCCAUGCAGACGUAGAAAUACUGAUGACCUCGUUUCUCCCGGGGUCUGUUAGCUUCUGAGGAAUCUGAUGGAAGUCAAGGAGCAGCAACACGAUCCAGGAGCCGAAAUACCCGGGCCUGCCUCUGAACUGUCAGGGACACGCAGAAAUGUGAUUAAUAGUUAACAAAAGAAGCUCUUUCCUGUUGUCUCACAUUUGGAUGAAACCCCAGAGUUGAGGACAAAGGAUGAUCAGGACCUUCACAUUCAACAGAGAAGUGUGAAUCCAUCCAUGGAAGUAGGAAUUGUCAGGAAACAGAAACAAGCACCUGCAUAGACCUGGAGCAGCAAAAGCCAUGGAGGUGGGGGGUGAGCUGGGCCAUGUGGCUGGAGUGGGAAGUGUAAAGAGAGCAACCUCGUCCAGCGGCCAGCUCUCAAGCUCCCAUGCCUUAUGUUUCAGCCACCUGGAGACAGACGGUUUCAUUUCCUUUCCAAAGCUCUGGGAGAGGACUUGGAUUUGGGGCAUUGUAUUCGAGUGUCUACACCUGAGC